rnacentral:rRNA from 1 species
UACGGGGGGUGCAAGCGUUACUCGGAAUCAUUGGGCGUAAAGGGCGCGUAGGCGGCCAAGUAAGUCAGAUGUGAAAGCCCGGGGCUCAACCUCGGAAGUGCAUUUGAUACUGUUUGGCUUGAGUAUGGGAGAGGGAAGUGGAAUUCCUGGUGUAGAGGUGAAAUUCGUAGAUAUCAGGAGGAACACCGGUGGCGAAGGCGACUUCCUGGACCAAUACUGACGCUGAGGCGCGAAGGCGUGGGUAGCAAACAGG